UCUUAUGGAUAAACAAGGAAAGUGAUUUCUUAUAUUGUAAUCUACUCCUGCUGAAGAUGCUCUGAA
rnacentral:pre_miRNA from 1 species